rnacentral:misc_RNA from 1 species
GAUGAAGAACGUAGCGAAAUGCGAUAAGUAAUGUGAAUUGCAGAAUUCAGUGAAUCAUCGAAUCUUUGAACGCACAUUGCGCCCCUUGGUAUUCCGGGGGCAUGCCUCUUCCAGCGUCAUUUCACCCCUCAAGCUCUGCUUGGUUUUGGGCCGCGCCGGCAACGGCGGGCCUCGAAAAUAGUGGCGACGCCAUCGUGCUCUCAGCGUAGUAAUUCUUCUCGCUGUUGGGUCCCGGUGGUCGUCCGCCAGCAACCCCCAACUUUCUUAAGUUUGACCUGGGAUGAGGUAGGGAUACCCGCUGAACUUAAGCAUAUCAAUAAGCGGAGGA